AACAGGGAUUGCCCCAGUAACGGCGAGUGAAGCGGCAGCAGCUCAAAUUUGAAAUCUGGGGUCCCCGACCUCCGAGUUGUAAUUUGGAGAGGCAUCUUCGGGGGGGAGCGCCGGCCCAUGUUCCUUGGGACAGGACGUCACAGAGGGUGAGAAUCCCGUGCCUGGCCGGCUGCCUCCUCCCGGGUGAAGGGCCUUCGACGAGUCGAGUUGUUUGGGAAUGCAGCUCCAAGUGGGUGGUAAAUUUCAUCUAAAGCUAAAUACCGGCGGGAGACCGAUAGCGCACAAGUAGAGUGAUCGAAAGAUGAAAAGCACUUUGAAAAUAGAGUCAAAAAGUACGUGAAAUUGUUGAAAGGGAAGCGCUUGAGACCAGACUCAGGCCCGGGCAAACAUCGCGCCCCUCGGGGCCGUGCAAUUGCCUGGGCCUGGGCCAGCAUCAGUUGGCGUGGCGGGACAAAGGCGCGGGGAAUGUGGCUCCCCUCGAGGAGUGUUAUCAGGCCCGCGCUCAAUGCCGCCGACGUCGACUGAGGACCGCGCCUCGGCUAGGAUGCUGGCUUAAUGGCCUUCAGCGACCCGUCUUGAAACACGGACCAAGGAGUCUAACAUCUAUGCGAGUGUUUGGGCGACAAACCCUUGCGCGGAAUGAAAGUGAGCGGAGGUGGGAACCCCCCAGCGGGGCGCACCAUCGACCGAUCCUGAUGUCUUCGGAUGGAUUUGAGUAGGAGCAUAGCUGUUGGGACCCGAAAGAUGGUGAACUAUGCCUGAAUAGGGUGAAGCCAGAGGAAACUCUGGUGGAGGCUCGCAGCGGUUCUGACGUGCAAAUCGAUCGUCAAAUUUGGGUAUAGGGGCGAAAGACUAAUCGAACC
rnacentral:rRNA from 1 species